rnacentral:rRNA from 1 species
UCCUACGGGAGGCAGCAGUAAGGAAUAUUGGUCAAUGGGGGCAACCCUGAACCAGCCAUGCCGCGUGCAGGACGACUGCCCUAUGGGUUGUAAACUGCUUUUGUUAGGGAAUAAACCCCGCUACGUGUAGCGGGCUGAAUGUACCUAAAGAAUAAGGAUCGGCUAACUCCGUGCCAGCAGCCGCGGUAAUA